CUCCUCCCCCCUCUCUCUCGUUCCCCUCCCUCCUGCGCGCCUCCUCUCCUCCUGCCCACAUCGCCGCCGCCACCGCCACCCACCGCCUCGAACCACGCCGUCGGCAUCCAUCCACUGCUCCGGCGCUGUCCAGAUGCGACCCCUCCCCUUCUCUCCAUGGCCGCGAAUCCACCCCAGUAGCUCAGGCAGCGGUCUGAUCCGGCGACCCCUUCCUCCAACUCGCGCCGGACGUCACCCGGAGUGGAGAGGAGAGGCAGAUCCCGCUGCCACCGGCGACCUCCCUCCCUCCCUCCUCAUAUGGACGUACGGGGAAACACCGCCUGAAACCCUAGCCCCGCCCCUCACCCACCCAUGGAUGGACGGAUGGGGACGGGGUGACGACGGCGGCAGCUUCUUUACUGCCGCCGCGGCGGCGGCCCUCGACACCGAUGAAUGCUGGUUCUUCCUCCUCAUCCACGACGCCCAUCUCCGGCCAUGACGACCUCGGAUCUCCGGCCCUGGUUGCUCAGAUGUUGUUGUUCCUGCUGUAGGUGGAUGUGGUGAGCUCCAUCCCAUCUUUUUACCCUGCUGAAGCACAUACUGAUUAUGUGGAGUUUUUCGAACUGCCAGCUAUAAAGGUCACCGAAGAAUAGCGCAACAUGGAUUCAUAAACCCACGGUUGGUGGAUGGUGAGCUGUUGGUACUCAAUGGCAAGGUCAUCAAUAUGAAUUUGUGGUGGCUGGCAAUUAUUUUGGCUUGAGGCCCAGGGCGAGGCUGCCGGGCUCCGCGCCGAGGUCAAGCGCCUCCAGGGCCUCCUCGACAGCUCCGACCGUGACGCCAAUGGCCCCGGGGGCGCCGGUGGGGACCUGUCCACCGUGCACCAGUAGAAGCUCGCCCUCGAGGAGGAGAUCAAGGCCCUCAAGGCUUCCACCACCUCCACUGCCGCUGACAAUGAGGGGGUGGAGGAGGAGGCUGUCGCUCGGCCAAGGAAGGUCUGGCGGUGCCUCACGGGAAGGUGGCCACCUCUACCGCUGCUGGAGCCGCCACCACUGCAUCCAUCGGGGUGGUUCUCCUCAACCUCAAAAGGUAAUCUGGUGCUCCGAAACGAGGCGAUGGAAGUUUUUGCUCUGCUACUAUGUAUGGCUCGUAUGAGACUGGAUAAUCCUUUUUUUGUCGGUGGCGCUGUUAUUACUGGACUGGUAGUGUUAUGGAUUUACGUUCUGCUGGUUAGUAGCUUGAUUAAUCUGGAGAGUUGGGGUCCUGUCGUGAGCCCUUACCGUUUAUGCACUUUGCCUUGCCAUGGUAAUAAUAUGUGAAGACUACGGGAAAACCCAGCUAUUGGUUGAUCACUCGUGUUAUUGUUCUGCAUUCUGCAUUUUAUUAUGCUGCUGCAUCUUAUUUCUGUUCUUAUUUUAUAAUGGUAUGAACUUCUAUUUUGCUGCAAGAUUGAAGAGAUUCUUUUCAAACACAAUAUAUUUUAUGUUGUGGAGUAAGUUUAGCCACAACAUGGUCUCUAUUUUGUCAAUAUUCUGUAAUCAUUUAUGUUGUGGAGUAAGUUUUAAACAAAUUCAGUAGAGUUCUGAACCAUUGCAUCAGUAAGUUUUAAACAAAUUCAGUUGAGUUUUAAACAAAUUACUAGAUCAUUAAGUUCUGAAGCAUUGCAAAUUCUGAAUUUUUUUAUCGACGACGACGGCUCCUCCCAUCGAUGACGUGCCGUCUCCUGCAAGCCCCUCGCCUCCUCCUCGACUGGCGGCAGCGCUGACCCCGACGAGGAGCCCAUCCUGCACCUCCUCUAGGAACUAGCACUUGGUGCUCCCACAAGUAAUUUGGGCUUCUGUCUUGAUAUUGCUUCAAACAGAAUAGGCAAGCAGCAUUGUGAUGACCCCAAAAGGAUACACAAGAAUCCAUCAGAAUUCAAUAGCCGAUAGUCAUGCUGACAUGAUGGAUCGGGACGAACCAUUUGAUCCCAUAUUUAGCUGACCUAUGGGCAACCCAUUUGGUAUUUUGGAGCCAAAUUUUGUUGAGAGAGCCGCUGCUGGUUUCUUUGGUUGGGGACCUCAGGUUACACAUUGCAGGGAUGUGCGGCAGAUACCUAUCACACUAAUAAUCCUCAAACUGGAAGGACCAGGAGCAGCUGCAGGCUAUCACGGAACCAGUUCUCUCAUUUGUUCUGCAAUGCAGUAGGCACACUCCACAAUCUCAGUUCCUAAUCUUUGUUAUGCGCUGAGAGGAGGGAAGAAGGACAAUGCGGUCGCAGCCCUAUCGGCACCCUUCUCACCUGAUUCACCCGCAUCACGCCAUGCAGGUUGAACGUGUGCAAUCAAAUUGAUUUGAAGUAGAGCUGGAUCCAUGGUUCGUUUUUGUGUAUUGCUCUUUACUGUCAAGUCUGGAGUUGGUGGUUCUUGAGUGAGCUGCGGAAGCUACUACCGUCUGUUAUCUGCUCCAUCUGUGUGCUGACGAACAAGUUAAUUAGGUGGCUUGGUGUGUGCUUGUCGACCGCCAUGGCCGACGACUCAUCGUCCUCGACAUUACAUUCCUUUGCACAUGUGUUUGGCCAUCUUUUGGUGCAUGCGAUGGUCUUGUGGACUGCUGUGUUUGUUGUUUGUGAUUCAAGCCAUCACUAGCUACUGUGAUAUGUUGUGCAAACUACUGUCAUCUCUAAGAAUUAUGUAACAUUCUUUAUGUUGACUACAUAUUAGUUACACUGAUGCACUUUUGGUUCUGGAGCUUUAGCAGAACUAUAUGGUUUGCUUUUGCUAUCUAAAAACCCAACUAUAGUACUUGCUGA